AUGUUGACUAAUUGGCGUUUAUCCAUGCAGCAGGUGGGAGGGGAGAGGGACGCACACUCUGUAAACAGGAAUAGGUGAUUCACUGGUCACUGAGUUGGCAUGCUAAAGUUAGCUAGUUAGUCACAUAAAUGUACGUUCAGCCUGUUAAUGAUUUCAGUCCGAUUUGAUUUAUCUUACGAAGUCAGCAUGGCAUAGUUUAUUUCGUGUUUGACCUUGACAUAGUUGCUGGAUAUAUAUACUUUCAUUUCUGACAUACUGGCGCUGCUAGCUAGCUAAUGCUAACGACGCCAGCUGACCUCAUGUCUGGAUGCCUCACUCUAGUCCCUGAGAGAGCAGCAUACUGGCCCUCCAUUCCCAAACCUGAAGCCCUCUGUCCCCAGCAGGAAAGACCAGGAAAAAGUGUUGGCUUAAGGUACAACUUCCUAUUGAGGAAAUAUCUUCCAACCUGAUCGGUGGGUGACUGGUAACCGUCUUUCCACCAAGCUGUUCCAGGCUUGGAGUGGCACGCUGGAACUUCCAGAUGCUUGUAGACCUGAAGCAGUGUGAUAUAUUCCAGAUCUGCCAUGCUCAGCAGUUCAGCUGCAGACACAGCAGUACACUGGUGUGAUAUUUAGUUUACCAGCUGCACCAGUUCCUACUACACUGGCCGUGAAGGGAGAAACUUUUAAAGAUUACCAGAUGGAUACAGAUCUGCCAUGCUCUCCACCACUGCCUGACAGCUUCACCCAGAAGUGCAUACACUGGGCCUAUCAAGACUGACAAAGCAGAGAUGGGUGGCUGACAAGGAAAAAUAAAAAAACAUGCACACACAUUAUCCACAAUGUAAAUAAGUUGUAAUUACUUGUUUAUUUAAUAUUUGCGGCAUUUUAUUUUAGGAUUGGAGAUAUCUACUCCUAUAUAUUCAUUAUCAAUAUCUGCUCUAAAUGCCUAUCAAAUCCAUGUGUGAUUGAUAAUAUUGUAAAAGACUUGUGUGUACAGUUUUAGGAAAUUCUGUGUACUUUUUUUCUGAUUUGAAAAACAUGCUUCCCUCUCUCACACACACACACUAGACCCAAUGUAAAUAAAUUGUAAUAACUUGUUUAUUUUAUGUUUGCUACAUUUUAUUUGAGGAAAAUAUCUUCAAUAAAGUACAUUUACAGUUAAA